rnacentral:rRNA from 1 species
CUGACCUCAAAUCAGGUAGGACUACCCGCUGAACUUAAGCAUAUCAAUAAGCGGAGGAAAAGAAACUAACAAGGAUUCCCCUAGUAACUGCGAGUGAAGCGGGAAAAGCUCAAAUUUAAAAUCUGGCAGCCUUCGGUUGUCCGAGUUGUAGUCUGGAGAAGCGUUUUCCGCGCUGGACCGUGUAUAAGUCCCUUGGAAUAGGGCGUCAUAGAGGGUGAGAAUCCCGUCUUUGACACGGACUACCAGUGCUUUGUGAUGCGCUCUCAAAGAGUCGAGUUGUUUGGGAAUGCAGCUCAAAAUGGGUGGUAAAUUCCAUCUAAAGCUAAAUAUUGGCGAGAGACCGAUAGCGAACAAGUACCGUGAGGGAAAGAUGAAAAGCACUUUGGAAAGAGAGUUAAACAGUACGUGAAAUUGCUGAAAGGGAAACGCUUGAAGUCAGUCGCGUUAUGCAGAACUCAGCCUGGCUUUUGCUUGGUGUAUUUUCUGUAUGACGGGUCAGCAUCAAUUUUGAUCGCUGGAAAAAGGCCUCAGAAAUGUGGCACCUUCGGGUGUGUUAUAGUCUGGGGUCAUAUACAGCGGUUGGGAUUGAGGUCUGCAGCACGCCUUUAUGGCUGGGGUUCGCCCACAUUCGUGCUAGAUGCG